GGUUAAGCGACUAAGCGUACACGGUGGAUGCCCUGGCAGUCAGAGGCGAUGAAGGACGUGCUAAUCUGCGAUAAGCGUCGGUGAGGUGAUAUGAACCGUUAUAACCGGCGAUUUCCGAAUGGGGAAACCCAGUGUGUUUCGACACACUAUCAUUAACUGAAUCCAUAGGUUAAUGAGGCGAACCGGGGGAACUGAAACAUCUAAGUACCCCGAGGAAAAGAAAUCAACCGAGAUUCCCCCAGUAGCGGCGAGCGAACGGGGAGGAGCCCAGAGCCUGAAUCAGUGUGUGUGUUAGUGGAAGCGUCUGGAAAGGCGCGCGAUACAGGGUGACAGCCCCGUACACAAAAAUGCACAUAUUGUGAGCUCGAUGAGUAGGGCGGGACACGUGGUAUCCUGUCUGAAUAUGGGGGGACCAUCCUCCAAGGCUAAAUACUCCUGACUGACCGAUAGUGAACCAGUACCGUGAGGGAAAGGCGAAAAGAACCCCGGCGAGGGGAGUGAAAAAGAACCUGAAACCGUGUACGUACAAGCAGUGGGAGCCUCUUAAUGGGGUGACUGCGUACCUUUUGUAUAAUGGGUCAGCGACUUAUAUUCUGUAGCAAGGUUAACCGAAUAGGGGAGCCGAAGGGAAACCGAGUCUUAACUGGGCGUUAAGUUGCAGGGUAUAGACCCGAAACCCGGUGAUCUAGCCAUGGGCAGGUUGAAGGUUGGGUAACACUAACUGGAGGACCGAACCGACUAAUGUUGAAAAAUUAGCGGAUGACUUGUGGCUGGGGGUGAAAGGCCAAUCAAACCGGGAGAUAGCUGGUUCUCCCCGAAAGCUAUUUAGGUAGCGCCUCGUGAAUUCAUCUCCGGGGGUAGAGCACUGUUUCGGCAAGGGGGUCAUCCCGACUUACCAACCCGAUGCAAACUGCGAAUACCGGAGAAUGUUAUCACGGGAGACACACGGCGGGUGCUAA
rnacentral:rRNA from 1 species